UACGUAGGGUGCAAGCGUUGUCCGGAAUUAUUGGGCGUAAAGAGCUCGUAGGCGGCUUGUCACGUCGGAUGUGAAAGCCCGGGGCUUAACCCCGGGUCUGCAUUCGAUACGGGCUAGCUAGAGUGUGGUAGGGGAGAUCGGAAUUCCUGGUGUAGCGGUGAAAUGCGCAGAUAUCAGGAGGAACACCGAUGGCGAAGGCAGGUCUCUGGGCCACUACUGACGCUGAGAAGCGAAAGCAUGGGGAGCGAACAGG
rnacentral:rRNA from 1 species